rnacentral:lncRNA from 1 species
CAUUGACUGGUUGGGGGGAGUUAUGUAUAACUAUUUUAUGGAAAUGCUAAUAAGCCUAGGGUUGUUACUUUUCUUUAUUCAGAGCCUCAAACAUGCACUUUGAAAGACUUUCUUUGUGCAAAUGGCGACUGUGUUUCAGCAAGAUUCUGGUGUGAUGGAGACUAUGACUGUGCAGACGGCUCAGAUGAGAGGUAUUGUGAAACAGGCUGUUCAAGAGAUCAGUUCCAGUGUUCCAACGGUCAGUGCAUAUCAGCGAAAUGGAAAUGUGAUGGUCACGAAGACUGCAAACUUGGGGAUGACGAGAAAAAUUGUGAACCAGCAUCUCCAACCUGCUCUUCAAGUGAGUACGUGUGUGCAAGUGGAGGCUGUAUUUCGGCAUCUUUGAAAUGUAAUGGAGAGUAUGACUGUGCUGAUGGAUCUGAUGAGGUAGCUGACAAAUUACUAUUGAUUUUUUUUUUUUUUUUCCCCAUACAGUCUGACAUGAAAUUUGUUAACAGUUUUAGAUCUGAAAAUAUUUAAAGGGACAAGUGGGGGUUUUUUUCAUCCAUUGAACACUGUCAGAUAAUUUAACCCCCUGAUCUAAUUCCCUGGUAGUUA